GAUGAAGAACGUAGCGAAAUGCGAUAAGUAAUGUGAAUUGCAGAAUUCAGUGAAUCAUCGAAUCUUUGAACGCACAUUGCGCCCGCCAGUAUUCUGGCGGGCAUGCCUGUUCGAGCGUCAUUUCAACCAUCAAGCCCCCGGCUUGUGUUGGGGACCUGCGGCUGCCGCAGGCCCUGAAAAGCAGUGGCGGGCUCGCUGUCACACCGAGCGUAGUAGAUUUCAUCUCGCUCAGGGCGUGCUGCGGGUUCCGGCCGUUAAACCACCUUCAUAACCCAAGGUUGACCUCGGAUCAGGUAGGAAGACCCGCUGAACUUAAGCAUAUCAAUAAGCGGAGGA
rnacentral:misc_RNA from 1 species